CUGAAGGUUGAACAUCAGCUAGAAUCUGCUGCUGAUCUAAACCUUGUUGUACACAUGGAACUUUGGCUGUGGAUUAUUAUUGCUGCUCUUUUCUUUGAGUGUAAAGGAGAAGACAAAGUGAUGCAGCCAUCAGGAGAUGUCAUUGCUGCUGAAGGAGACACAGUUACACUGGAUUGUACUUUUGAAACCAGUAGAGCGGGUCCCACUUUGUUCUGGUACAAACAAGAAGUAGACGAUUAUCCAAAGUACAUGAUGAAAACUUACUUGGCAUCAGUGGAAAAAGCUCCAGAGUUCCAGCAAGACAGAUUUGACGCUAAAAUUGACAAGAAAUCAGUUCCUCUGAAGAUCCAGAAGCUUCAGCUGUCAGACUCUGCUGUGUACUACUGUGCUCUGCAGCCCACAGUGACAGGAAACAACAAAACUCUGUACAAAAACCUUUGGAGCAAAGACAAGAGAAAACUCCACAACAUCCAUUAG